ACGGUUACCUUGUUACGACUUAGCCCCAGUCACCAGUUUCGCCCUAGGCCGGUCCUCGCGGUCCCGGACUUCAGGCGCCCCCGGCUCCCAUGGCUUGACGGGCGGUGUGUACAAGGCCCGGGAACGUAUUCACCGCGCCAUGGCUGAUGCGCGAUUACUAGCGAAUCCAACUUCGUGGAGUCGGGUUGCAGACUCCAGUCCGAACUGGGACAGGUUUUCGAGAUCGGCAUCCGGUCGCCCGGUAGCACCCCUCUGUACCUGCCAUUGUAACACGUGUGUCGCCCCGGACGUAAGGGCCGUGCUGAUUUGACGUCAUCCCCCCCUUCCUCGCACCUUGCGGUGGCAGUCCCUCCAGAGUCCCCAGCUUAACCUGAUGGCAACUGAAGGCAAGGGUUGCGCUCGUUAUGGCACUUAAGCCGACACUUCACAGCACGAGCUGACGACAACCAUGCAGCACCUCGACAACUGUCCGAAGACUAUCCCAUCUCUGGAAUAUUCAGCUGCCGUUCGAGCCCGGGUAAGGUUCCUCGCGUAUCAUCGAAUUAAACCACAUGUUCCUCCGCUUGUGCGGGCCCCCGUCAAUUCCUUUGAGUUUCAACCUUGCGGCCGUACUCCC
rnacentral:rRNA from 1 species